UUGUAUCUCAAUCUCUUAAUGUUACAUUGAUGUCCAGUGAAAACAGAAGAGGGAGAGAGAGAGAUAGGCGUAUGAACACUGAACAAGAUUUUAUUGUCCAUUUUAGAGUCAAACAGAUGUCAUGUCAUGUGAGGAGGGAGUCGCAGACGAUGCCUCUCUCAGUCCCUUAAAUUCAGAGCUUCACCACUUCCCUUUCAUCCCCUAAUCUCCGACUCUGAUCCCCAAUUCUCUCUCUCCCUCUCUCUGAGCAGUCUCGCUACUCGCCCAAGAAAUCUCAAUCUCAAUGGGUUUCGAGGGAGAUGAAGAGUCGCUCAGCACCCAGCAACUACCCGCCAAAUCCAAGUUUAGGUACAACUCUCCCUUCGUCCAAGUCUCCCUCAUCGGCCUCGUCUGUUUCUGCUGCCCCGGCAUGUUCAACGCCCUCUCCGGCAUGGGUGGUGGUGGCCAAGUCGACCCCACCGCAGCCAACAACGCCAAUACCGCUCUAUACACCACCUUCGCCGUCUUCGGCGUAAUCGGCGGCGGCAUCUACAACAUCCUCGGUCCCCGCCUCACCCUCGUCACCGGCUGCUCCACCUACGUCCUCUACGCCGGCUCUUUCCUCUACUACAACCAUAAAGAGCACCAAGAAUUCGCCAUUGUCGCCGGUGCGUUAUUGGGCGUCGGCGCAGGCCUCCUCUGGGCCGCCCAGGGCGCUAUCAUGACCUCUUACCCCCCAAUUCAUCGUAAAGGGACCUAUAUCUCCCUCUUCUGGAGUAUCUUCAACAUGGGUGGUGUAAUCGGCGGCCUUAUUCCUUUCAUUCUCAACUAUCGCCGUGCCGAGGCAGCUUCGGUUAACGAUGGCACAUAUAUCGGUUUCAUGGCCUUUAUGUCAGCUGGGACGCUUCUUUCUUUGUCUAUUUUGCCACCGAGCAAGGUGGUUCGUGACGAUGGGACCCGUUGUACUAAUAUCAAGUACUCCAACGUUAAGACCGAGGCGCUUGAGAUUCUUUUUUUGUUCUUCAACUGGAAGAUGCUGCUCAUAGUGCCUGCCGCUUUGGCCAGCAAUUUUUUCUACACGUAUCAGUUCAAUAACGUGAAUGGGGUGAUGUUUAAUUUGAGGACUAGGGGGUUUAACAAUGUGUUCUACUGGGGGGCACAGAUGUUGGGCUCGGUUGGAAUUGGAUACAUAAUGGAUUUCAGCUUUCAGAGCAGGAGGAUGAGGGGAUUUGUUGGGAUUGGAGUGGUUGCGCUUCUCGGGACUGCUAUUUGGGCUGGUGGGCUUGCCAGCCAGCUCGGCUACUCGCGCGGUGACAAGCCUGAGAAGUUGGAUUUCAAGGACUCGGGUGCCGAUUUCGCGGGGCCAUUCGUCUUAUACUUCAGUUAUGGGUUGCUGGAUGCCAUGUUCCAGAGCAUGGUUUACUGGGUGAUUGGAGCUUUGGCUAACGAUUCUGAAAUCCUCAGCAGGUAUGCUGGGUUUUAUAAGGGAGUGCAGAGUGCUGGGGCAGCAGCUGCUUGGCAAGCUGAUGCACACGGUCUAUCCUUCAUUGGCCAGUUGAUUUUGAAUUGGGGCCUUACUACAGUCGGUAUUCCAUUAUUGGGGGUUCUUGUCAUGUUGGCAGUGAAGGAUGACAACAAGGCUGAAGAGGAAACUACCAAGGAGGCUGCUCUUACUCCAGCUACCCCUGCCUAUAAAUGACAUAACAAUGUGGAGGGGCUGAAUUCUUUUAUCCAUCAUGCUUCGUGUGUUCUCCGCGGUGAUCUAAAUCUUGGGAGCUUGAAAGUUUCAUCGAACGCUGCAUGCAAUUUAUUUACUGUCAUUAAUCAUCUUACAGGGGAACUAAAGAGCAUCGUAUAGAAUUUAGGAAUGUAUGCGGCAGAGAAAGGAAUUAAAUGCUCUCUUGAAUUAUGUUCUGAAGUUAAGAAAUGAUUUGUAGAAGCCCCAAUAGACAAACUCUGCACAAUCUCUUUGUAAAAAAGUGUAAAAAGGUCAUAUUCUUUUUUACAAAAGGCCUGUGAGGAGCUUGUAUAUUUGGUACUUGUACCUAGCAUUACUCAGUAAAGUUAUCUAUGGGGCAGUACAGAUAAGAGGUGACCAAAGUGGCAAUUGAACUAAGCAAAUCUGCCGCACGUCAGAACCAUGAAAACUCUUGGAUUUGAUGAUUUAGCUUUUGACAUAGUAAAAUUAUAGUGGACCAAAGUAUAGCAUUGACAAAAGUACCACUGUCAACCAUGAUUGGAGGUAGUGGCAGGGACUAAACUGAUUGACUUAAAGGGCAGGGGUUCUUAUGGAGCUCUAGUGUGAUAAUUUCUUGAAGGUAGUUAUGACAUCUGCACUAAAUUGUGAUGAUGUGGGGCUACCGCAACAAUCUGUAUUUGAGCACAGCGCAGGAAGGUCUCUUUACUGCUCAUGUUUAUGAAUGCUGAAAUUGGUGUGUUUUAGUCUUUGAUUGAAGUGGCAGACAAAUCCAUACGAUGUGAAAAGAUGAAUGUUGAUGAAGGUUCAUAGUUUAUUUUCUUUAUGAUUAGAGUCAUAAUGGACUCUGAGUGCCUUGUGUUGCUCACAAGAUUUUCUACAUCUUCAGGUGUAAAAAGUUUUGGUGACCAAAAUUGGUCUCACCAGAAUCCACUUUCAAUUUACACUAACAAAAACUGUACAAGAUUUGGUAAUUGUGUUGUGAAAGAAUAAUGUGAUAUUCUACUCUAGAUAUUCAUGAAAACUCUACCUAUAAAAUGAAAGAUGAAUUUCAGAGGUCUAAAUACAGAUUUCUUUCCGUCUCAUUCUAUCUUUCUUUCUUGCUUUAUUUUGGCUCAUUAAUUUCUACCUUUUAUUUUCGUUCUCAUCAAAAGAUAAUAUUUUAAGAAUGUCUACUGUUCCAAGAAAAAUGGUUUGAAGGAAAUGAAUGAUGGUUAAUGUCCUAAUAUUGUGCAGAACAUACUUGAUUCCUAAAACCGGAUAUAUGGGUUAGUGUUAUAAAGCAACAAAUUAAAACUCCAAAUAUACAUAUCUGACGAAUAAAAAUAAAUUAACAAUUGUUCCAGAUCUUAAAAUGAAUCCCAACAAACCAGGCUGAAAUUAGACAAGUGUCAUUCCAAUGAUAAAUCUCUUUAUAGUUUGAUUUAUUGUUUCUGUCAAGUAGGAAGUGUCAUCACGCAGUUGCAACAGGUGCAUGACUUCUAUCUCCUGAGCUUGGAGUGGCAUCUGAUUUGUCAGUCUUGGCCUCAGCUUGCUCCUCCUUUGCCGGCUCUUGGGUCUCCUUAACAGCCUCAACUUUGUCAUUGGAUUCGUUAGCAGGGGCUUCAACUUUGUCCUCUGUUGUUGUCUUGGUAGCCUCUUCAGCUGCCUCCACCAAAACUGGCGUGGCUUCAACGGUCUUCGGUUCAGAGGACAGGUUUCCAUUCUCCUCCUUGGAGAUGUCCAUCAAGGGUGCUUCACUCUGACUCUCGACUCCAUUGUCGGUCCCCUGCAGUCACAUAUCAGCAAAACAAAACAAAAGGAAACAGCAUCAUAAAUAAUCAAGUACUUCUGCAAUGAAUCUCAAGAUGGUCUGGAGGGAUCAGAAUGCAUGCAAUGCAUACUUGAGCAGAAGUCUCCCCGUCAUCCUUCUUGGGAGCGGUGCAACCAUCAGUGUGGAUAUCCUCGGCAAGGAUGUCAGACUCCUUGGGCUUGGUCGCACAGCCUCCCAUUUUAUUGAAUUUUGUGGGAAGGAUGGGCGUGUUGGGGUGUUGGUUGCUGAAA